GCCGUUGAGCCCUAACCCUCAUUCAAGCCCUCUCUCUUUCCCCCUCUGUAACAGCAAAGCACUUCUCCACGUCUAACCGUCGUUGGUGCGCCCUCUCUGUAACCCAGCGAAGCACUUCUCCACUUCUGCCAUUCAUUUAUUGUUGUUCUAGUAAUAUGGACCAUGUGGAAGCAAGUGGCAGUACGUGUGGUGCCUACAGGCUUUUUGUUGGAUUUCACUAGUUAGCUAACUAGCUUGUGCCAAGGUGUGUGAGUUUUCUGGCAGCUGGAGGGUCGUGAAAGCAAGGAGGUUAUGGGAUUAUGUGACAAUGGACGGGCUUACAUGUUACAUGCUUACGGAAGGCUAGGAAAAUAACAUCAUAUUAAAGUCAUUAUGACUUGUUUCCUCACUAUUAAUUCCUUGGAGCUCCCCUACUGCAUUAUGACUGUUAUUUCAACCACAAUUUACCUCAUGAGGCUGAAUGGAUAAAUCAGUACAAAGGAAGAGUGUUCAGUUUAAACGACAAGCCUGUGGUGCAUAAAAUUUGGCUGCCGAAUGAGGAAUGCCCCAGAUUGGCAAUGUCUAGAGCCUUUGGGGACUACUUUAUUAAGGAUUUUGGACUUAUAUCCGUCCCUGAAGUGAGGUGUUGUCACAUAUAACCAGCAGAGACCAAUUUGUUGUGUUGCGAACCGAUGAGUCUUCCCGCUAGGGGCUGGGAAGAGAUAACAACGGGAGCGUCGAUUGCAUGGCUAUCAAGUACAUCAAAUUUGAAUUGGACACAAAAAUGUCGCGAUUCCCUCUCUCCGAUCAGAAACUUCGAAGGCAAAAUUUGUGCGAAAAAGUAUGUGUUUCCAUCUGCUUGUGUGUGUUUAUGUAUGUUCGCCAACCAAUUGAUAUUUUCGGCUUUCUGUUUCGUUGCAAUGAAUUCAAGAAAACGAGAAAAGUUUAAAUUCUUUUAGCUUUUGUAUCGAAUUCCUUUUGAUUUUCUUUCUUUUGUUUGUCUUCGUGAAUUUGUUGGACUUUUGGAUUUACUGUGAACUACGGUUUCUUCGUCUACUAUUUGAAUGUUUCUUUUUUUUAGACGAUAUCUAGUGUUGUUUGCAAUAUCUUUAGAUUUUUGUGGUUGAUGUUCCCAUUAAUUUCUUGGAUUUUGAUUUUUUUUUACGUAAGGGUUUCUUUAGCAUAUUUGGAUGGUUUAUUGUCUACGAAUAUGAGUUUUCAGGAAUUUAGGGUUUAUUUGUUCAACUUGUAUAGAUUCUGCACGACUAGAAUUUUUGACAUCAUUAGAUAAUUUUUUAAGUCAUAGUCCUGUAGGUUUCUUGGUUUGGAUUUCCA